rnacentral:lncRNA from 1 species
UCUUAGUGGUGGAUUAAACCUAAAGGUGGGUCAAUCAAUGGAGAGCUACUCUCUGGUACUUAGUUUCAGUCAAAGACUCACAAAGGCUUCCACUUUCAAGAAACCCUCUUUUCCUACCGCAAAAUCCAUUACCACCGCCGUUACUCACCACCGCCGGCGACGGCGAAGGAAUAGUCACCGGAGGUAUCUCAAACGACUCGAGAGCCGGAGGCGGGUGAUUCC